rnacentral:tRNA from 1 species
GAAUAUGUCAGGCCCUAAUGAGAACUGCUAAUUCCUCAUUUCCAUGGUUCAAAUCCAUGGCCUAUUCA